GUACGGACUUGAAAAUCCGUUGGCUUUAUUGACCGUGAGGGUUCAAGUCCCUCUACCCCCA
rnacentral:tRNA from 7 species